rnacentral:rRNA from 1 species
AUGGUAGGAUAGAGGCCUACCAUGGUGGUAACGGGUAACGGGGUGUUAGGGCACGACACCGGAGAGGGAGCCNGAGAAACGGCUACCACAUCCAAGGAUGGCAGCAGGCGCGCAAAUUACCCAAUCCCGACACGGGGAGGUAGUGACAAUAAAUAACAAUACGGGGUUCUUUCGGAUCUCGUAAUUGGAAUGAGUACAAUUUAAAUCUCUUAACGAGGAACAAUUGGAGGGCAAGUCUGGUGCCAGCAGCCGCGGUAAUUCCGGCUCCAAUAGCGUAUAUUAAAGUUGUUGCAGUUAAAAAGCUCGUAGUUGAAUUUCGGGGUUAGUAGGUUGGUNANNNNNCUGGUAUGUACUGGUCUCACUGAUUCCUCCUUCCUUAUGAACCGUAAUGCCAUUAAUUUGGUGUUGCGGGGAAUUUGGACUGUUACUUUGAAAAAAUUAGAGUGUUUAAAGCAAGCUAACGCUUGAAUACAUUAGCAUGGAAUAAUGAAAUAGGACGUUCGAUCUUAUUUUGUUGGUUUCUAGGAUUGACGUAAUGAUUAAUAGGGAUAGUUGGGGGCAUUAGUAUUCAAUUGUCAGAGGUGAAAUUCUUGGAUUUAUUGAAGACUAACUACUGCGAAGGCAUUUGCCAAGGAUGUUUUCAUUAAUCAAGAACGAAAGUUAGGGGAUCGAAGACGAUCAGAUACCGUCGUAGUCUUAACCAUAAACUAUGCCGACUAGGGAUCGG